rnacentral:rRNA from 1 species
AGAGUUUGAUCCUGGCUCAGAACGAACGCUGGCGGCGUGGAUAAGACAUGCAAGUCGAACGGGCUUAAUUUCGAAGCAAUUCGAAGCUGAGCCAGUGGCGAACGGGUGCGUAACACGUGAGUCAUCUGCCUGAAAGUGGGGGAUAGCUCGUCGAAAGGCGAAUUAAUACCGCAUGUGUCCCGGAGCAAUCCGGGGUAAAGCCGGGGCAACCUGGCGCUUUUAGAGGAACUCGCGGCCUAUCAGCUUGUUGGUGAGGUAACGGCUUACCAAGGCUACGACGGGUAGCUGGUCUGAGAGGACGACCAGCCACACUGGAACUGAGACACGGUCCAGACACCUACGGGUGGCAGCAGUCGAGAAUUUUUCUCAAUGGGGGAAACCCUGAAGGAGCGACGCCGCGUGGAGGAUGAAGGCUUUCGGGUUGUAAACUCCUGUCAUUUGGGAACAAGGCCUUACGUUAACUGCGUGGAGGUUUGAUAGUACUGAAAGAGGAAGAGACGGCUAACUCUGUGCCAGCAGCCGCGGUAAUACAGAGGUCUCAAGCGUUGUUCGGAUUUAUUGGGCGUAAAGGGCGCGUAGGCGGCGGGGUAAGUCGGGUGUGAAAUCUCAGGGCUCAACCCUGAAAAAUGCACUUGAUACUGCUCUGCUUGAGGACUGGAGAGGAGACUGGAAUUCACGGUGUAGCAGUGAAAUGCGUAGAGAUCGUGAGGAAGACCAGUGGCGAAGGCGGGUCUCUGGACAGUUCCUGACGCUGAGGCGCGAAGGCCAGGGGAGCAAACGGGAUUAGAUACCCCAGUAGUCC